CCAUGCCCAAGGUUGGGGGACCCAUUUAAAGCUGCAGGCAGCCUUCCUGCAAAGACACUGGCUCACAGUGGAUGGUUGCUUCUGAGUGGGACACCAGGACACCCGCUUAGGGGCCUAGACUCUAACAGCUCCCCCGGUCCAUGGAGCUGUCGGCUUGAAGAUGGUAAAACAUACCAGGGAGCAGGCCUGGGAAACCCUACAGCUAGCAGGGGCAGAAGGUAACUUACACAUGUCAGAAAUCGUAAGAAAAGUGGGCAAAUAGGAUUCCGACUGCCAAAAAGCAGACUUUGGUAAGACACCUACCUCGCUUGCCUACUGAAACAAAGAUUCCCCUUCCAGGCCUCUUUUCCUGAGAAGCCCUCUGUUGCCGUCCCGGGCUGUGUGACCAGUAGGGUUUCUCAUAAUCUGGAUCGUGGCCAUCCCAUAUCUAUGGUCAGUGAACGCAAUCAACACGUUCUCUCCGUCCUCCGCACCUCUUGAAAAAUGAAAGCUGCAUGCAGAGGCUUGGUCAGAAUUUUGUGCGAAACUGGAAACAAAGUUCUGACUUGUAAAGGAGGUCUUGGGGAACCGAGGAAGGUGAAGUUGGAAGGUUGGACCACGAUGUGAAUCCCGCCAACCAAAGACCACUGGGGAUUCAGCUACACGGUUCCACUCGUCCUGCCCGCUGCACCAGAGGAGACCCCCCCCACGGCAAGCCCGGAGCAUCUCGCAGUGAUAUUCAGCACUUAGAGGCAACAACAUGUGUCUGCGAUCCAUAUGAGUAAAACUAUGGAAAGAAAGAAAGAAUGCGAUGCAUAGUAUAUUCCUGCAUGGAGUUAAUCCUGGCUGGGUAUUUACUGCCUCUUUCUUGAAUCUAUAAAAAAAUGAAGUUCCACAAGGUUGCCAUGAGGUACAUGGCCUAACGUGAAUUUGGAAAGGUUCCUCUCGAGAUGCAGUGAGCCACGCAUAAGUUCCUCAAACGGCCUGGUAUGUGACAAGCGCUCUGCAAAGACUGGCUUCAGAGUCAUGGGUCCGAAAUGGGUCUGCAAGUCGGCGACAUCCGGGCGGAACCCUCCUCAAGCUGCCAUCUCUCUGGCUGUCCCUCCUCUGCCUCCCUCGUCCACUUGCGGGCACCCUCGUGCUGACACUGGCCCACCCAGAGGAGGCAGCCUGGAGGCCCUGGAAGAGGAAGAGAACUGCCCAAGGCACUACCUCUGGUCGGUGCCAAGAGCUGACUCCUCCCCAAUAUCCGCACCCCCGGAGCCAGGGUUUCCCGAGGUAGAGAAAACCCCACGUGACACAAUGUGCAGCCGAGGUGUUCAGAGAGAUUUAUGCACUGCUCUGGUGGGAAGCACCGCUCAGCCUGGGGUCUUUCCUCUCGACAAUGAGAGGUAAAAGUAAACCCAGUGACAGUGACUUUCUCUGUUGCUGGAAGUCACAUCAAGUUCAACGCUAGUAAUUGCAGAAGCACCCUUCCCAAAUCGCAGAUUCAUUACGGAACAGAUUUCAAAAUAAACGUCCGGGUUCCGCCCC